rnacentral:lncRNA from 1 species
UGGCUUUGUUAGGCAACUAUCUAUCAGCAAAAGGCACUAGAUAUUAAUGAAAGAGAGCUUGGGCUGGACCAUCCUGAUACUAUGAAAAGUUAUGGGGACCUUGCUGUUUUUUACUAUCGACUUCAACAUACAGAGUUGGCUUUAAAGUAUGCUUCUGUAUAUCCUUUUCUUAUAUAAAUUGUUUGUUUGUUAAUACCUUGACAAUGACCUUCGAGGUUCUCCAUAUGAAGAGAAUUUAUUGUUCAAAUCCUGUGGGCCCUUUCUAUCUCGUAGAAUAGUAGUCUUCUAAACACGUUGGAAUUGAUAGGAGGAUGAACUUUUGGGGGCUUUGGUAUGGAAUAUUGUGAUGGUUUUAAAGUGAUAAGAAUUGAUUCAAUUCCUGAAAGAUUUACCUUGAAAUGCUCUCUUCAAAUUUACGGCACAAAUAGAAGAUUAGGAAAAAGCAACAAAAUUUUAUAACUGGAAAAAAAAUCCUACAUGUAUGCCAACAUUCUAAAAUUGCUUUCUUCAGAACUGGGUUAAACCCAUUGUACUUCCCAUGUGGGACUCAAGUCUCAUACCUUGCAAAUGAAUCCUAACAUAUUUGAUAUUUAUAUUGGGAAAAGGAUAAAGGUCAAACCUAAUCAACAUCUAUUAAAUAUUUAUUUUAUUAUUAAUUGUGAUAUAAGUUCUACUCAACAUUUAUGGAUAACUGGGUACUUAAGAAAGGGAGGAGAAAUGAAAUAAAAAAAUCAUUGUAAAAUCAAGAGGGUUCUUCAUUCAGAAGUGUUCAAAGGAAACAUUGGAGUUUGCAAAUAUUUUCAGUGUGAUAAAAUUUCAAUUCAUAUGCAUCUUUAGAAUCAUUCCCUGUGUUCUAGAUGUGUUCCUGAGUUGUGACAAUUAUCUAUAGUUACCCAAACCAGAAUUUCUAUCUUACUCUGAAAAUAAAAACCAAAGAAAAUCAUUAAUAAUGACCAACAAGAAUCCCAAGAUUUUCUGUUCAUAUGUAGUGAGAGAUGAAUGCAUAUAGGUGUUUAAGAGUAUCUUUGGAUGAUAUUAAUUUGUCAGCAAAGAUCAGCCAACUAUGAAUCUUCGAUAACUGAAUACAUAAUUUUGUGAAAAUUUAGUUUUCUUUCCUUUGACAUCCAUAUCAUUGUAAGGAAAAGUACUGUGAAUAAUUACACUGAUUUUUUUUCUCUGCCAUGUAUCUAGGUAUGUCACUCGUGCAUUGUAUCUUUUGCACCUAACCUGUGGACCUUCACAUCCAAACACUGCUGCCACCUACAUUAAUGUAGCAAUGAUGGAAGAAGGACUAGGAAAUGCCCAUGUUGCUCUCAGAUACCUCCAUGAGGCUUUAAAGUGCAACAAAAGAUUACUUGGACCUGAUCAUAUACAGGUUCUUUCAUUACUGUAGUUAACAACCUUGCAUGUUGCUAUUGCAUGAGACUUUAUACUACUAAGAUUGUUUGAUAAAAUGCUAUAAACUUGGAGUUCAUAUUUUUAAAUCUGGGCUACAUGCCCAAUUAUAUGCAAUAAUUAAUGUUGACCCUACUUUGUGAGUAAGAUGUUUGACUAGAUUAUAAAGGAGAGAAUAAAAAUCAUUUGGCGAGUUAAAUUGGGAAUCCGCUUAUCCAUCCUGUCUUUGUUCAUGAGUCAUGAUGCCUUAAAAUUUUAUUCUCUUAAUUAGUCAAUGAACAUAAUUUCUGAUGUACCAUUAUGGCGUCAUUCGAUCCAUGUAGCCGACCUCAUCUAAUGGAAUAAAGACUUGGUUAUGUGGUUGUUAAGAAGCUAGAGUUUCAAGAUCCAGCUUGACCUGACCUAGUGGGCCCGUUGAGCCACUAGGCUGGGCUACCAGACCAGUUGAUCGAUCACCUGUUUCUAGGUUUAAACCUUUGUAGAUCAGUGUGAACUUCUCAAAACUAGAAGACAAAAACAACUAGGGAGUGGUGAUUUUAAAAAACCACCGGAUCAUAGAAUUGGACACUUGCGAAUUGUUUGAGAGAAUUGAUAAGCUGGGUCACUUAAACUGCAGUUAGUACCAAAAUGUUGACAUUAAAACCCAACGCAUUUUUGUUAUGGACAACUUCUUUAGUACCAUAAUAUUUUACUUUAGUUAUAUGUCCCUAUACCUUUUGGUAUUUUCAAACAAGUUUAUAUGGUUUAGAACUGAUUGUUGGGUAGCUGUAGUUUCAAAAAUCUUCCAGUUGGGUCCCUACUAUUAGAAAAAAUUUAAAACCUGUACUCAAGUUACAAAUUUUAAACUAUAGGGACCUAUAGAUAUAUUUAACGUAAUGCAGGACUGAUAUGCUUUGAUAAAUUAUUGUAUCAUUUUUAGUCAUUAAAAAGUCUGUACUUGUUUUCUUUCAAAGAAAUACAAUAUCAUACAAAUCCCAGAAACAGCCUCUCCGCUUGUAGGAGUAAGGCUGCAUACAACUAUCCUCCACAGUUUCCACUAAGUGAGAGCCUUGUACAAUAGGCUGCCCUAUACUAGUUCGUAAAUUUGCAUUCCAAAAUUAUCAAUGGUGCAUUACAGUCUCCGAAACCCAUUCUCAUGUUCUGUUUGUAGAAUAUAUAUCAGAUAAGGAUAGAUUGGAAUUCUAACUUUUUUAAAAAAUUCUUCGCUGAUUCAGACUGCUGCAAGCUAUCAUGCAAUAGCUAUUGCUCUGUCUUUGAUGGAAGCAUAUUCACUAAGUGUUCAGCAUGAACAAACUACCCUCCAGAUACUGCAGGCCAAACUUGGUUCUGACGAUCUUAGGACACAGGUAGUCUUACAUAUGUAAUUUGAUGGCAGAUCAACAUAUAUAUGAGCAGCAAUCUUUGUUCCUUAUAGCUAUAGCUGUGAAUCGGUUACAGGAUGCAGCUGCUUGGCUAGAAUACUUUGAGUCAAAAGCUCUGGAGCAACAGGAAGCUGCACGUAAUGGCACACCUAAGCCAGAUGCCUCAAUCUCCAGCAAGGGUCAUUUAAGGUAAACAUUACAAUUAAAAUAAGUUAUGCGUAUGUGGGUCAAUCUGGCUUAAUUGAUAGCUUAGCACUAUUAAUAAGUAGUAAUAUCUUCAAGUGCUCUUUGUUCAUCCAUCAAUAAUGGUGAUUUAUGCUGUGAAAACUAAACUUAGUAUGCCCUAUAUUAGAAGGGGCAUUUAUUACAACAAAGCAGUAAGCACUACAAACUAAACUAAGCAGUAGUAAAUCCGUGUAACAUCUGCAACAAAACUAAAACUCCAUUGAAAGCGGUGCUAAUUCUAAUCUACCAAAAAAAUUACUUCAUAGUUUGGUUAAAUUUUCUAUCAUAUAAUAAUAACGUAUGGGUUUUCUUCUUUUAAUGUAACUUAUUUAUUUUCACUUGGAUGAUAUUUUAGUUUAUACUAUACCACUUUUUCUAUAAAAAAUCAACAGUAGUUAGAGAACUAUAUUUUUCUAUGAUAUCUUAUGUAUCCAAGAUGAAACUAGGUAGCAUUGAAUUGUGUGUGACUGACAUCAUUGUAUUAUGCUUGUAAAGGAUAUCAUUAUUUACAUAUAUCCCAAUUCCAAAGUCUUGAAUUGAAAAUAUAUUUUAGCUUAGACUUCAGUUACUUAGAGUUAUCGUCGGCCACUUCUAAUCCAUGAUCAACAGGUUUAUGAAGUGCAAAAUAUAUAAUUCACUAUAUUGGAUGGUUUUUUCCAAUUAUAUUGCCAGGGGGUGACAUUAUUUUUCUAUAGUUUUCUUUGGUAAUUGCAAAAACCUUUCAAUCAAGAAUAGAGAGUUCACAUUUUGUGACUCGAUAGCUAAGUAGACACCUUAUAUGUAAGGUACAUCUGAAUUACUUAACUGCGAAGUCCAUUCUAUUGUUGUAAUUAUUAUAGUUAUGGCUUUGUUAGGCAACUAUCUAUCAGCAAAAGGCACUAGAUAUUAAUGAAAGAGAGCUUGGGCUGGACCAUCCUGAUACUAUGAAAAGUUAUGGGGACCUUGCUGUUUUUUACUAUCGACUUCAACAUACAGAGUUGGCUUUAAAGUAUGCUUCUGUAUAUCCUUUUCUUAUAUAAAUUGUUUGUUUGUUAAUACCUU